ACCAUGGCAACAGCCUUAUCUGCCGCCCUAGAGCCUUUUCCCUAUAACAGUGAAAUCAACAAUGACUGUAUCAGGAGAGAUCUUUAACUUAUUAUUUAUUACAAGAUAUUCUAAUGUUUAAAGAGCAAUCCAACAUAAAUGAAGAGCUUACGUUUUUCAAGAGAGCAAAGUCAUUUGUGAAGAAUUCUUUCCAUGCUUCAAACAUAAGAAACAGCAUACACAAUACUGGACAUCACAGGACCCUCUCCGGCUGGAUACCAGGCUGUGGAGCCAUCAGAUGCUUCAGAUGAGAAAGUGUCCUGCUCUGUCGCCCAGGCUGGAGUGCAGUCGUGUGAUCUCGGUUCACUGCAACCUCAACCUCCUGGACUCAAGUGGAUCCUCCCACCUCAGCUUCCUAAGUAGCUGAGACUACAGUACUUUGCAACCUACCAAGUAUCAUCACAAGAGCUAUGAAAGUGAAGAGAGACAUGUUAUCUAAGAAUCUGAGAGAGAUGACUCAGUCAGCAUCCUCUGUCUUGGUGUACAAUGGUAGGGACAGCUACUGUGUCACCUGGAGCAUGACAAUGAGAACACAGACACUGGGUCGUCCUGAUAUAGCCUGCAGUCCAUCUGGGCUUCUAGACAUUCAUUUGCAUUUGCAUUCAUGCGCAUCCCCUACUACUCCAACUCCUACACCUUUUGGCAGGAAAUAUCCACACAGCUGGAUUGGAAUCAUAAGAUGUUUUUAUUUUUUGCCUCAUUAAACUAGUUUCUCUC